rnacentral:rRNA from 1 species
AGCAGCCGCGGUAAUUCCAGCUCCAAUAGCGUAUAUUAAAGUUGUUGCAGUUAAAAAGCUCGUAGUUGAAUUUCGGGGUCAGUAGGCUGGUCGUGCCACAGGUACGUACUGGUCUCACUGAUUCCUCCUUCCUGAUGAACCGUAAUGCCAUUAAUUUGGUGUUGCGGGGAAACUGGACUGUUACUUUGAAAGAAUUAGAGUGUUUAAAGCAGGCUAACGCUUGAAUACAUUAGCAUGGAAUAAUGAAAUAGGACGUUCGAUCCUAUUUUGUUGGUUUCUAGGAUUGACGUAAUGAUUAAUAGGGAUAGUUGGGGGCAUUAGUAUUCAAUUGUCAGAGGUGAAAUUCUUGGAUUUAUUGAAGACUAACUACUGCGAAAGCAUUUGCCAAGGAUGUUUUCAUUAAUCAAGAACGAAAGUUAGGGGAUCGAAGACGAUCAGAUACCGUCGUAG